GUUUCUCCACAUCUGCAGGCGUGUUGAACAUAAUACCACUGGUGGUAAAAUAUUUAAUUGUAUUCCAUUAAACGUUCCAAUAACAAUCCAAAAUGUGCAAAUGUCUGACCGGUAACGUAGCGUGCUGCUGCUUCAACUGCGCACUUAGCAUGCUUGUGUCCAUCAUCAGUGCUUUCUUUGUGCUCUUCGUAAUUAUUGGAUUGGUAGUUUACUUUGUUUACUAUCAUGAUAAGGACGGCGAUUUGCAUGAUCAAAUCGGACAAAUCGGUAAUGAUGCUAAGGAUAAAGCUGGUGAUUUGUAUAAUGAUUUAAAAAAAUAAACUCUCCAGUUAAAUCAGCAUUGGAAAAUCUCUACAGAAGCAUUCAACUUACAUCUGCUUACAUCUGUUGCCUUUUGAAUGGUCCUCCAAGUUGACCUGCAUAAUUGUUCCAGCAUAAAUAAAUACAAACAAUAUAUGAAUCAUACAGUUUUUGUCUUCUGUACAAAUAUACAAUAAGUUUUUAUAAA